rnacentral:rRNA from 1 species
CAGCCGCCGCGGUAAUACGAAGGGGGCUAGCGUUACUCGGAAUUACUGGGCGUAAAGGGCGCGUAGGCGGCACGAUUAGUCAGGCGUGAAAUUCCUGGGCUCAACCUGGGGACUGCGCUUGAUACGGUCGAGCUAGAGGAUGGAAGAGGGUCGUGGAAUUCCCAGUGUAGAGGUGAAAUUCGUAGAUAUUGGGAAGAACACCGGUGGCGAAGGCGGCGACCUGGUCCAUUACUGACGCUGAGGCGCGACAGCGUGGGGAGCAAACAGGAUUAGAUACCCGCGUAGUCCCUGUCUCUUAUAC